rnacentral:tRNA from 1 species
AUCUUUAUAGUUUAUUAAAAACGUUACACUGAAAAUGUAAAAAAAUUUCUUUUUUAAAGAUA